ACCAGCCAGAUCAAACUGAAACCAAAUCGAACUCAAUUUAUUAGACAUUUUUGCUGCCGACCAACUGAAAGUGGAAGCCUCCUUUAUCAUAUUCCAUCGCCCAUUUCCAGCUUGGGGUGCAGGGGAGGUAUAUAUAUAUAUAUAUAUAUAUACAUACAAUGACACUGAUAUUAAUUACCAUUGGAGCACUGCUACAUAAGGAUUAUUAAGACAGUGAUAUUUGAAAGGCACAACACUAUCACUAUCUAUCUCUAGCUGUUGUUUGUCUUGCAAAAUGCCCAAGAACUCGACAAAUGAAAGCCAGCCUCCACCUGCAGGAUACCCAACUGGAACUGGGAAUCCCUCCACAGGGAAGAAGUGCUGUGCUCGGGGCAAGAAGAAAGGAGACAGGGGCUUCAUAGAGGGAUGCCUCUUCGCUUUGUGCUGCUGUUGGCUCUGUGAAGAAUGUUACUAAUCGAUCUUAUUGUAAACGAGGAUUUCGAAUAAGCAAAACUGUCAUAUGGUAUCAGUAUACCAUCGUUGAUCUUUCCUUUUUUUCUUUUUUCUCCUUCUCGAGUGUGUUAAUUAUGAGUGAUUUUCUAACUAUUGUUGAUCAUUAGACUACAGCUAUUCUGUGUGCGAGCUUAUAUAUUUAUGAUAUAGCACGUCAGUUGUGACCGAUAUAUAAUAUAUCAUCUUACUUCUGCUAAUUG